rnacentral:snoRNA from 1 species
UGGAUCGAUGUUGAUAAAUGCCAGCGUAUGAGUUGAUGUUGAUAAAUGCCAGCGUAUGAGUCGUCGAUGAUGAAUAAUACGUGUCUGGAACUCUGAGGUCCAA